CAAAAUUAUACAGGAAGGAAAUUCUCGUGUGAAGGUCCAUUGGAUGAACUAUUCAAAACACUAUGAUUCGUGGAUAGAGACGAGCCUCAUCAGACCCAUCAAGCCAAAGUUUGCAGAAGGGGACAUGGUCAGCGCCCGUUACAACGUAACGUAUAGGACAAUGUAUCCAGCAACAGUUGUAGCCGUUGAUGGGGACAAGGUGUUUCUUCGUUAUGAAGAUGGACUGGAAAAGAAAAUUCACCAAAGAUAUGUAGAAAAAAGAAACUAAUGUGGGACCGC
rnacentral:lncRNA from 1 species